UUUUCAGUUCACUCCUUAUGUCUACAACAUACUUGAAAGACAAACCACACCAAUCGACAUGAAGUCAGUAAUUUCACGGGCCAGUACUGAUUAUGUCGGAGGCUUGUCCAGAGCACGUAUUUCUUGACUCAAGUGGAUCCGCGCUUGACUCUGGUUGUUAUAUUCAACAGUAAAAGAUCAGAGAAGGACUCUUAUGUAACCACGUUUUUUACAGGGGGGAAAGAACUGAACAUAGAGAAAUGUUCUCAGUGAAGCUGUACCUCUACCACUUCAAGACGAAAUGGAGCACAGAACUUGAAGGAAAAACUGAAAAAGAAGGCUGGAUAUUUAAUUAAUCAAAACGUUGUUCUAAAAUACCACAAAAGGAGAGACAAUUGAUUUAGGGAAGUACCAAAUCAAUCUUGAAUUCGAAGUAAUGUAAGGUUAAUUUUGAAAUGAAAUUUCAUUAAAAUACUGAAAAAACA